rnacentral:rRNA from 1 species
GACGAACGCUGGCGGCGUGCUUAACACAUGCAAGUCGAACGGAAAGGCCCUGCUUUUGUGGGGUGCUCGAGUGGCGAACGGGUGGGUAACACGUGAGUAACCUGCCCUUGACUUUGGGAUAACUUCAGGAAACUGGGGCUAAUACCGGAUAGGAGCUCCUGCUGCAUGGUGGGGGUUGGAAAGUUUCGGCGGUUGGGGAUGGACUCGCGGCUUAUCAGCUUGUUGGUGGGGUAGUGGCUUACCAAGGCUUUGACGGGUAGCCGGCCUGAGAGGGCGACCGGCCACAUUGGGACUGAGAUACGGCCCAGACUCCUACGGGAGGCAGCAGUGGGGAAUAUUGCACAAUGGGCGGAAGCCUGAUGCAGCAACGCCGCGUGCGGGAUGACGGCCUUCGGGUUGUAAACCGCUUUCGCCUGUGACGAAGCGUGAGUGACGGUAAUGGGUAAAGAAGCACCGGCUAACUACGUG